AGGACUAUAAGUUUUCGACGUAUAAAUCUAAUAGCAAUCCCUUUGGUCAAUUACCUAGCUAAAUCUCCUCCAUCCCACUGUUGACAAUCCAACACAAAUUUUAAUUUAGUGGAUAAAGUUCCUUCCUUCUUUUUAUUUUAAUUUAUUUAUUAUUUUUACAAACCAAACAAUGCUAAAAUGAAUUUCUCCGUAGAUGUGGAUGUUGGUGGUUCUCCUGUUAAACGAACAUGUCCCCAAAGACUUUAUGAUGAAGUUCUACUGGGGACUCCUGAUAGAUGUCCAGCGGAAUUGCAUAAUUCUUGUUGAGAUCUCCAUUUUUAAGCUAAGGAUCCUGGAGGAGCUCAGAACGUGCUGCAGAAGAAGUACUGGUGCUUUCCAAGCCUCCACUCACCAUUCUUGAGACCAGAGCCCUAUGACUCCUAUACCUUCCACUUCACAAGCUUCAUCUGGUUCUUCAACUGUCCAGUAAGUUACUAUAGUCUAAGGUCCACCGGUCAGGUAACCCCCUCUUCUUUUCUUUUUCUUUUUUUUCACAGUUGUAUUCACACUAAUUGUGAUGUAAUACCAUACUUAGACACUAAGAUGUAGAUAUUGUCAAUAUUUUUCACUUGAGCUUUAAUGUCCUCCUAUACGUCCUACCUGAUCAGGGAUGGACUGACCAUUCUGGCACUUUCCUUACAGACCAAAGGCUAAAUAAUAUAUAUGUGAUUUGAUUUUAUUAUUAUUUUUGUACCUUCAAAAUAACUUUUUUGUUGUCAGUCCACCUCAGUAUCUGAUAAUAACUUAGUCUUGCCCCUAUAACACUGUAAUACUACAUUCACAAUGUCAUGGAUUCUGCUAACUGUGCCAUUAGGUCGUUAUAUGCUAUGGUCAUAUCUUCCAGAACUCCCCAAGCAACAACAUUCUUUGAUAUUUGGUAAUAAACAUUGUGAAGGAUUUCCCAGUAACCGUUCGGUUAUUUCCACUCCAUGCUACUUAAUGCCCUUGGUUAUUUGUUUUAUUUUUCGUUGUUCGGUAAAAAAUUCGUUUUACCGAACGGAGACCACCCUGGGUACUAAUCAGAACGUGGAACAUUGUAUAACCAUCCGAAAACCGCAGACUAAUUGAAUGCUCCUAGGUGGCCGCCAUUUCGUGCAUAUGACGGCGGCCAUCUUGUCUCCCGAACGCGGCCAGUUGGACUUGGUCGUCGAGUGCCUG